GCUAAGUAAACCGCUUGGGGAAUGGCUCGGUUCGGGCGCCGAAGAAGGUCGUGCCAAGCUGCGAUAUGC
rnacentral:rRNA from 1 species